ACAUACGACCAUACCCACUGGAAUAUACGGGAUCCCGUCCGCUCUCCCCUAGUCAACCCAGUGAGGGCCGAACUAGUACUCAGGUGGGUGACCACUGGGGAAUCCUCGGUGUUGUAUGUU
rfam:Magnaporthe oryzae 70-15 chromosome 3, whole genome shotgun sequence.